UGGGGGAUAUUGCACAAUGGGCGAAAGCCUGAUGCAGCGACGCCGCGUGGGGGAUGAAGGCCUUCGGGUUGUAAACUUCUUUUGCUCUGAACAAGGCAUGCCUUUGGGGUGUGUUGAGUGUAGGGGUUGAUUAGCGCCGGCUAACUACGUGCCAGCAGCCGCGGUAAUACGUAGGGCGCGGGCGUUGUCCGGAAUUAUUGGGCGUAAAGGGCUUGUAGGUGGCUGGUUGCGUCUGUCGUGAAAGCUCAUGGCUUAACUGUGGGUUUGCGGUGGGUACGGGCUGGCUUGAGUGCAGUAGGGGAGGCUGGAAUUCCUGGUGUAGCGGUGGAAUGCGCAGAUAUCAGGAGGAAUACCGGUGGCGAAGGCGGGUCUCUGGGCUGUUACUGACGCUGAGGAGCGAAAGCGUGGGGAGCGAACAGG
rnacentral:rRNA from 1 species